rnacentral:lncRNA from 10 species
GGAAAAUAAAUGAGGAGCAAUAUGCAGAUGUUCAAGUAUCAGACUCAUUAAUUAGUACCUUACUGCUGCUUCUGUGAGAGACAGCUGUGACGGGAAAAGAAGGCAAAAUAGGUGAUAUGACCCUUUCACUACCUAACUGGGCAGGGACACAGUUCUGUUUUCCAUACUUCACACACUCUCUAUCAGUUUUAGUAUUUGCAUCCUCUACUCUUAU